AUGGAGAUGUUCCAGGCUGCAGUGCACCUUGACCCCAAACUAAGGAAGACACCUUGCCGUUGGGUUGAUGCAUGACCAAUUCCUUGCAGAAGCCAUGGAGGCUGCGGAGAAUGUCAAUCGGGCAAGAUCUGGAGGGGAUUCACCACGGAGCUCAACCAAACGGAGCGGACGCGGCAAGGCCAGAGGGAGACGUGGAGGCCGUGCGGGCCAUACAGGCCGUGCAGACCGAUGGAGUGGCCUAACUACAGGCAUGGACACUGAGGUGUUGGCACUUCCUUCAGAGGAUUCCUUGCCCUUACCCAGAGCACAGCAAAAUCCUCAAGAGAUGUUUGAACAAAACAUGGAGAGGCUUUCUGCCCUACUGGAUUCAAGCCCCUGUCCUGCUGAGCCUGAGAG
ensembl:lncRNA